rnacentral:tRNA from 1 species
UCCCUCGUGGUCCAGUGGCUAAAAUUCUGCACUCCCAAUGCAAGGGUCCCGGGUUGGAACCCUGGUCAGGGAA